GCCCUGAUAGCUCAGUGGUAGAGCGUCGAACACAUAUUCGAAGGUCGUAGGUUCGAUUCCUGCUCACGGCA